rnacentral:rRNA from 1 species
UACGUAGGUGGCAAGCGUUAUCCGGAAUUAUUGGGCGUAAAGCGCUCGUAGGCGGUUUUUGAAGUCUGAUGUGAAAGCCCACGGCUCAACCGUGGAGGGUCAUUGGAAACUGGAAGACUAGAGUGCGGAAGAGGAAAAUGGAAUUCCAUGUGUAGCGGUGAAAUGCGCAGAGAUGAGGAGGAACACCAGUGGCGAAGGCGAGUUUCUGGUCUGUAACUGACGCUGAUGUGCGAAAGCGUGGGGAGCAAACAGG